rnacentral:antisense_RNA from 1 species
CUUCAGCGAGCCGAGCCAUAGUGGCCGGUCCUCCGGCCGGUCCGCGCCGUACGCGGCGAGCAGCGCCUCGGCUUC